CCUACGGGUGGCUGCAGUGGGGAAUAUUGCACAAUGGGCGCAAGCCUGAUGCAGCCAUGCCGCGUGUGUGAAGAAGGCCUUCGGGUUGUAAAGCACUUCCAGCGGGGAGGAAGGCGGUGAGGUUAAUAACCUCAUCGAUUGACGUUACCCGCAGAAGAAGCACCGGCUAACUCCGUGCCAGCAGCCGCGGUAAUACGGAGGGUGCAAGCGUUAAUCGGAAUUACUGGGCGUAAAGCGCACGCAGGCGGUCUGUCAAGUCGGAUGUGAAAUCCCCGGGCUCAACCUGGGAACUGCAUUCGAAACUGGCAGGCUAGAGUCUUGUAGAGGGGGGUAGAAUUCCAGGUGUAGCGGUGAAAUGCGUAGAGAUCUGGAGGAAUACCGGUGGCGAAGGCGGCCCCCUGGACAAAGACUGACGCUCAGGUGCGAAAGCGUGGGGAGCAAACAGGAUUAGAUACCCGGGUAGUC
rnacentral:rRNA from 1 species